AGGAGAAAGAAAUAAAUAACACAGUUAUUGCAUCUGAUAGCUAUUCUGCACUGGAAAGUAUAAAAUCUGGCAGGUCAUCUUUUAGAAUGGACAUAAUUAAUGAAAUUUUCCAUAAGGUAUAUAAUUUGAAGGUUAAAGGCAAAGAAAUACAAUUCAUUUGGGUUCCUGCUCAUGUUGGUGUGGAAGGGAAUGAGAAGGUGGAUUUUCUGGCAAAACAAACUCUAAAAUUAAAACAGAUAGAUCUACAAGUUCCAUUAAGCAAAAUGGAAGCUAAAGUAUACAUUAGGAAAUAUGCGUAUUCAGUAUGGCAGAUACAUUGGGAUGAUACUGAAUUAGGCAGACACUUAUAUAAUAUACAAAAUCAAGUUCUGGGAGGAGGGAGAGCAGGAAUCGGAGAGAGGAAAGUAUUAUAACUCGGAUGAGAAUAGGUCACACAGGACUUAAUAGUACAAUAUAUAAGAUUGGAAAGCAUCCAACUGGGGAAUGCAUAUACUGCUGUCAACAAGAAACAGUUGAGCAUGUACUUUUUCACUGUAUGAAAUAUAACAAUGAGAGACAUCACCUUAUUCAGUCACUUAAGAUAGCAAAACAUCAUGACUUUACAUUGCCAGGUUUAUUAGAGAAAACAGAUAGCAAGUUGUAUGAUGGUAUUAUUAAAUUUUUGAAAGUAAGUAAAUUAUACAAAAGAAUAUAACGUUUUGAUUGUUUGUUUGUUUAUUUGUUCUGUUUUAUUUUCUAGUUUGUUUAUUUGUUUUGAUGGGUUUUUUUUAUUUAUUAUUUGCUGUAUAUAAAUAAUAUCCUGAUCCAUACUCCAUUCCAGUCGGUGGCGGUAAUGCACCAAUAAGUUAGGUUGCCAACCGCCAAUAAACACCAAAGAAGAAGAAGAAGAAGAAGAAGAAGAAGAAGAAGCAGCGCGUCCUCGUUUCAUUCAUUCAUUGAACCUGGAAAUAAGCGUGAGCUUGCAUCAGGUCACCUUUAUGUGAUUUUUGAACGCGGGGCAUAAGGCAGUCGUAUGUAUUUGUUUUAUCAAGAAAUCCUUGUGUGUUGAUGGUGAUUGGCCUGGUGAUGCAGUCUUCAGAGUGUUGAAUGAGUGAGAGCGAAUUAGGUUCCUUUUAAAGAAGAACCGUGUGGUUGAUGUAUUCCUUUUUUCUUUUAUCCAGUUAAUUUAAAGUUUUUCAUCUUACUUCCAUGGCAGCUGCGGGGUCUCCUCCAAGGGUGUGACUGGCACUGGUGAGGUGGUGGGCAUUCUUCUGUGGUUCCUGGUGAUUUAUUUAUCCUUUUGAGUGCCGUGGAUUUUUGUACUGUAUUUGGAGUGUGCAUUGCAAGUAGUGGCUAUAUUUUUCUACACGCGUAUAGUUGUGCCUUGUUGUAGCCCUGUGGUUUGUCAUAAAUUUGUUUUGUUUUUGUUUUUUUCUCCUUGCUGAAUGAUGUGUACUCGUGUUUUAAACAUCUAAUUGUUUUUAUACAAAAUUUGGUAUUUAUUAUUGUGAAUAAAAGCUUGUACAAGCAAUACAUUCUUACUACAGCCUGUGGCCAGUUAUUCACCCACUUGUGGUGGGUUACAUAAGUAAAAGUUUGAGGUUCCUGUACUUGAGUAUAUCCAUGUUCUGCUACUUUAUAAUCCACAGCAGUACGAAUAAUGACAAACUAAUACACGUUGGCCAGUUUACAAGAGUGGUUACAUUUUGGAACUUCCAGUACAUUUGGCUGAAAAUACUUACUGUACGAUUUUAUGGUUGUGUACUUCAACAUCAUGAUGUUGGUGCUUUGAGUAUUUCAUCCAUCCCACACACCAUUCUUUCUUUGAUUGCUCGUUUCUAUUGUUUCUAAAUGUGUACAGCCCUCUUCCAACUUAUAAUAAUAAUAAUAAUAAUAAUAAUAAUAUCAGAAUCACACAGUGGAGAGGAUGUGGCCAGAAAUCAACAACCGGGUAAAUUACCCACUAAAAGAGGCCCUCAUACAACUACAAGAUCAGGAAGCAAUAGAUAUAGAGGACAGCCUGACAAGGUUCUGCACAUCCAAUCUGACUGGCCAGAUGUGCCAGAUUGGAAUAAAUCGAUUUGUGCAUUCAUGGAAUGCUCACAGGAUCCCAGGUAAGUUACAUUAUGCAAAUUGGAUUUGUUCAUAAUGAGAUGGAUCCAGAUGGAUUUGUUAAUAAUGCUUUCAGGCUAUUUUACAAACACAAACUACAUAGGUUCUAGAAGAGAUUUACUAUUAAACAUAAGAAAUUGUUUGUGUUGAUACAGGGAGAGGGAUACCAUAUCAGCUGGGACAGGAACACUGAGAAAAAUCACAGCAGAUCUUCUACCAGAUGCCAUGGUAGCAGCUGACAUGUAUGACAGGGACAUGGGAUCAUCCCUCACCAGAAUAUCUUCUUUCGGAAGUGACCCCUUUCUGUCUGAGGCAGACAAAGUGAGCAGAGCAGCACUUUUCACAGUAUUACCCCGACCUUGCAGUUGUUUUUGACAAUGUUGCCACUUGCCAAUUACAACUAUGUCCCAUUCAAACAGGCUUUGAUCUACCUCAUUAAUGUAACAAAGAGAUUUUCCUAAUUUCAUAUGUCUUGGAUCAUGUGGAACCUUGUCAUAAAUCGAGGGAUAGCCUCAGCCAUGAGGAAAAUUUUAGCACUUAUUUUCUGUUUAGUAUACAUACUGUAAAUAUGGACUCCAACAUUAUGCAGUCACUACUAUGUACUCUGUAACAGGGUGCAAGUAUUAAAUGAAUCUUGUUCCUAUUAAAACAAUUAAUUAAAUAAAUAAAUCCACUUUGAUAUUGUCAUUGUAUUAAUUACACAGUAUACACUGGACUGUUUUGUGGGGAAAAGUAUAUUUGAAAAAUAAUAUAUUAUAGAACCAGGAAGAGCUUAAUGAUAAAACACAAAAAUGUUGUAAACAAAUUAGGUCCAACUUUAGGAAUCACAUAAGAUAAAAAAAAAAAAACACCUUUAAAUCAGUGUGGAGUGAGCUCAAAACAACAAAGCAAUGUA